rnacentral:lncRNA from 1 species
CUGGUCAUGUGGAAUUGAAUCUAAAGUAUUACUACAACCACUGUUAACUUGACAGUACUAAUGAUUUAUUUUUAGUGUAUCAUGCAUACAAAUAUAUUGAAUAAGAAUUAGAUAAAAUGUAUUUCUAUAGUUAUAAGUUAACUGAGUCAUGAUAACAAUUUAUUUAGUUACCUACAAGUGCUUCAUGAACAUUUUUUGGAAGCAGCUCCACCAAUGCAAAUGGUAGUAGUCAUUCCAUAAACACAUGACAAUCAUGACUCUUCAUUUAUGAAAUUUUUUGCCCAUGCUCAA